UUAAUUUUAAAAAAUAGUAGCUCUCUCAAUACGACUUCGAGACCAGGGCUUUUUUUGUUUUGUCCUCUUUCUCAAUGUAAAAAAAACCUUAAAAGCCUGAUGAGGUUGCUUUACAGUAAUGAGAAAAAAUGAUGAAAUAAGGUGAUAUGAAUACCAGUCAAAACCAAUAAUUUUAAUGAAAGUUAAUUCCUUUUUUUUGAAGCAACUGGCGCCAUGACAGUUCAGAAAGACAAGUGCAUUUUCUCAUGACAUGUGAAGCAAAUAUUUCAUUUGCGUAUUAUUUUAAGUUUGUUUUCUCCCCAACCUUCUUCUUGCCCCACGCGGUUGCUCACGGAUUAAUGACUAUUUUUAAUCACACUCGUUGAUUUUAUUAACAUAAUUUUUAACUUAGUUAGCUAAAAUGAGUUUCUCUCCUACAAAAAUUUAGACGCAAACAAAAGCGUCAGAGGAAAUCCUUAAUUCGAAUCGACCAAAAAACAUAAAAUAUUUUCCCAUAGCCAAACUCCCAUAUAAACCAACUAAUCAGCAUAAAGCCAGUGUCCUACAUUUAAUCCUUUUAAAUGAUAGGGGAAUUAACCAUCUUUGUUCGGGUGAGUGGGAACAUUCAAGUUAAAACAUUAAAAAAGAAAGGAUUUCCCGAUGAUGAUAACGAGAGCAAACAACAAUGGAAUUAACCAAUCAAAAACCGCAGAAAAUUUGUUUGUAACCUAGCGUAAUUUUUCCCACCUCCACUGUUCCAAUUUCCUGAUGGUAAGAAAAAUUAUGUUGGGUCUCUUAGUUUUUAAAGGCGGGUACAAACAGCCAACAUGUGGUUUUAGCCUUUUUUUGACGAUGAUGUCGGCAAACAUUUAUUGAAUAUUGGCCAACUUUUUUGACUAUUUUUUCCUUACCCAAUAUGUUGAUACCUAAAGCAAACCGAACUAACAUGCUGGCCAACAUUUAGGUCAGCGAGUGUUGGUCAAAAUGUUGGGGAACAUGUUGCUUAGAUUGCGUCUACUUUAAGAUAAGGAGCAUAAAAGUUUUGCUACUUAUGCAUGAACCAAUUGUUGUUAUCCCUUCUAACUGUGACAACUGAAAAAUUACCGCAAAAAAAUUGCCAUACGUUUAUAUGUUUCAAAUGUCAAAGUAUACAACUCUGAAAGAAGCAAACACACAUGACACUGCACUUUCUUCAUAAUUUAAAUUUCAAAAUCUUAAAAACCGAUCAAGAUUUAUAAAAAAUGAAUUAGUGAGAUUGAUUUUUUUUACUUUACCCCACCUACAGUGACGUAAGUCUUAAUUUGAUUAUCAUUUUCAAAAUGGUGGCAGAGCGAAUUAAACGAAGGUUCCUGCCUCGAACAAUCAGUGUUUUUUUUUUAAAAAAAAUUGCUUCCUAAUACCAUCUGCUUUAGGUAGGUUUUUUAUUUAUUUUUCUUUCCUUGUUACACAAAAAAUGUUCGUAAUAAAAACGUUUCUUCAAUUAAAAAUUUCCUUGCGGAAGGUCGUUUAUCAAAUUAGAGAAACAUCGUGCAUAAAAUAGACAUUUUUUAGUUUCUUUUCCUUUUUUCUUUAUCAAUGCAAUUAUUCAUAUUGUUAUUGGAGCAGGGAAUUUGAACUAUGCUUAAUCAUUCUUCCGUUUUUUCCUUUAAUUAUUUAUAAAAACUUAAUAGGAAUUAUAAAAAAAAUAAUAGAUGAUUUUGAGGAUUGAACUAGGGCUACAGAAACAAUUUAAUCGGAUAAUGUUGGCUGGAAUAAAAAGCUCUUAUACAAAACUGAAUAAAAAUUAGAAAGAAUAACAGUAAAUGAAAGCUAGUUCUAGCUAGCGAGAUGGCUUCAGCAGGAUGCUGCCUUGAAAUAUACGUUUGUAGCCAAAAUUGGUUGUUUAAGAUUUAUACAUGGCUAGAAAACGUGAUCAUAUAUUUAUCUUUGAAAACACACGAAAAUAAAUAUUCCUAUAGAUACAAUGUAUUGUCAACAAAGAGUUGCCAACUCUCGAGUCUAAGAAAUCAUGGAGUUACGAAUAACUGUUCUAUUUCUUCUCGUAAUAUCCGCCAACGCGUUUUUUAAAAUUGGACGAAAAAGAUCUCCACCGUCAAUACUACAAGAAAAAAAAUAUGAAGAGUUAACUACAAGAUUAAAUCAAAAUGGAAAGCUUUUAGUAAAUACGCUAGUGCUUCAAGCAUUUCGAGAAUUAUUAAAAAAACAUACACAAAAUGUUCCAGUUCAACAUGGUAUAACAGUUAACAAAAGGCAGAGGGUCAAGUAUUGGCGAGAACAGCAAUAAUGUGCGUAAAGCGAAGCGCAUGCGCUCAUCUUUGCAAUCAUAUCAAAAAUUGUUUAUAGUUCUUGGCGUAGUUUUUAUUAUAUUUAUGAAGAUAUAAAAAGUAAAAUAAUUAUUUGUUUUGAUCUAAUUCUUCUGUAUUUAUUUUUAUUUAUAUACACACAAGAAAAACAUAAUAAUGUACUGUGGGAAUGUAGUGUAAUUCAUUUUUUUAUUUCUCAUAUUUUCAUUUCAUAUA